GUGCUCACUUCGACAGCACAUGUACUGCAAUGGGAACAAUACAGAGAUUAGCAUGGCCCCCAUAUAAGGAUGACACACAAAUUGGUGAAGCGUUCCACAAAAAU